GCUGGAUUAGCCCUUUGGCUGGGCUAACCUUCAUAUGUUCUGUUUAGUUUUUCACUAAGCCUCAUCUGAGUGAUAUAUACAUUGCUCCUUGAUUACUUAUCAAAUAAAAAUAAAAUUCACUUUCUUUAAUCACUUUCUCUCCCCGAUCUUAUUAGCUUAGUAGCAGCAGUGGAAGUCAUAGUAGUUGUAGCAGAGUAAGCUAGAGCCAGAAGCUUUCCACCUACUACCAUAUGGAGAGCCAGUUCUCGUCAUCCAUUUAUAUGUGCGCUACCUUGCCUAGCAUUUCUUACAAUUCGGAGGGCAGCAUACCUUCAAUUUCCUGAUCCAGAGCAUCCAAUUUAAAUUCGGAUAACCAUUUACAGUUCUAUUUCGUGAGCCAUAGCCCGUAGAUAAAGGGGGCUAGCUGUUCCUUAGGAUGGGUUGGAAAUAUAUAUAGGAUAUAGGGAUCGGGGAGGAGAUUGUUAAGGUGGUUGAGUCACCCAUAAUGGCUUUCGGUCAAUCAUGGUGCGAAGCGAAGUAUUCGAGUGAAGAAAGAAGAGAGAGGGAAUGCUUUGCCAGCGAACCAGUAGCACGAUUGCAGUUCCUCGGUCUCAGUCCUGCGAGCGAAAGGUGCCAAGCUAAAGUAAGAGAAUCCGCUGCAAGUGCAAGACCAGACGUUAAUCAGGAAGCAUACAGCAGCAAGCACACAUCUUUGCGGCCUUUCUAAACCUUAUUUAUUAUAUUAAGCCAGUGUCAGCCUUUAGGUUUUUAUCCCUAAUCUUGAGUGUUGAACCAUAGGUUCGGCACAAGAGGAAUCUUUCUUAGACUCGGUUUGCCGUCAGUUUGCAAACUGCGGGUGGGUGCGAACAACUAGAGGCCCGUCCAGGAGGUUAGUUAAAAUAGAGGACCUAGAACGCCUUGGUGAAUCAGACCCAGAGAUCAUGGCCAACAACGCCAGUCACCGAGGUAACGUGCUUACUCUCUAUGAUAGGGACAAUGGAGAGUCUACUGGCUCUAACCACCAGCGGAACCCUACAGUCCCGGCAAAUCAGCAACUUUCUAACGAGGUAGUUAGCCGUCAACUAGGUGAGAUUGCCUGGAUACUAGCACAAUUGACCUUGCAGGUAGCCGAAAUACCCUGGCUGCACCUGCUGCUCAAGGAACAAACCCUCCAUCUACCACCCCGGCUCAGGGGACACAGAUCCACAACCACAAAGCCAACAAAGAGUAGCAGAUGCUAGACCUGUAGGCCCAAUACCCCCUUCAGUUCAGAAUCAGCCCGCAGUUCCUGAACCUGUGGAUCACUAUGAGAAAGAGAUCUGAAGAAAGCCUCCUGCAGUACUGGCCGUGUCCUUGGCUCCCACUCCCAUGAAUCAGAUAGCGCUAUACGUCCCACCACAGCCGUCCGAUCCUCUGAUGGAGAAGAUCAGUCGCCUUGAACGGGCAGUUAAUAAAUUGACUGGGGACGAGUAUGAUGUUUUAGAUCUUGAUAAUCUCUCCCUAUACCCCAAAGCAAGGAUUCCGUACGAUUUUAAGUGGCCAGAGAUGUAUAAGUAUAACGGAACCGAAUGCAUAACAAAAUAGAAUAAAAAGAGGCUUACCUCGGAGCUUCAAUUUUAAAGGCAGGAUGUAUGUCGGAACUCUAAAGCCCAUGGGAAUCGACAAUGAGCUGCUUGUCCAACUAUUCCAGCGCAGUUUGACCGGACCCGCGCUGACUUGGUUGAUGAACACUGACCUAACUUUCCCAUGAGGAGGGAAAACAAAAUCCAAGUUGGGAGGAUAACUUCACUUUCCCGCCAACUUUCCCAUGGGCCAGUCAACGAUUUCUCAUGCAUGAACUUACCAAACAUGGGAAAACAAUUGAUUUCUCAUCCCCAAGUCUCCUUUCCCAUGAACCGAACGAGGCCUAACCCCAAUAAACGCUGCAAUCUCCGGGUUCUUAUCUCCAAUCUAAGGUCAGAUUUGGUUGAUUUGUAAAGGUUUUAUUUUUUUUAUUUUUUUGGGUAUAAGCUGAGGAAACUUAUGAAUAUUAUUUGAUUUAUUUCGUUUAAUAUUACCCUUAAUUUGAUUUACUUAGCUAGAUCGUUGUUCGUAGCUACUUCUCCUUUAUUUUGUAUCACAAUUUACAUAAAAAUAAAAAACCGUAAUUAAGAUUUAAAUUCAGUAAUGAAGGCUUAGCUGCAAUCCUUUGGAGUGGUGAUUGCUACUUCUAUAUUGUUUCAUUUCUCAUAUUAGUUGUUAUACUUUUGUUCACUGGAUGAGUUUGAUGGUCGGGAAGUAGAUGUGGGUUAAAUUUGUUUUUUUUUUUGUUUUUUUUGAUAAAAAAAGUUUAGGGGCAAACUCACAACUUUGAGUCAGUAGAAUUUAUGCAUCAGUUAAUUUACAUGUUUAAUUAGUUGAGUUUUUGACUCUUAAUUUUAUUUUUCUUAGUUUUUUUGUGUCAAUUUUUUGCUUAAUUAUAUAUGUAAUUCUUAAUCAGUGUGACAAUGUUAUAUUUAUUCUAAUGGUCAACAGUAGAAGU
rnacentral:lncRNA from 1 species